AUAUUGGUCAAUGGACGAAAGUCUGAACCAGCCAUGCCGCGUGGAGGAUGAAGGUCCUCUGGAUUGUAAACUUCUUUUAUAUGGGACGAAAAAAGGGUUUUCUAACUCGUCUGACGGUACCAUAUGAAUAAGCACCGGCUAACUCCGUGCCAGCAGCCGCGGUAAUACGGAGGGUGCAAGCGUUAUCCGGAUUCACUGGGUUUAAAGGGUGCGUAGGUGGGUUGGAAAGUCAGUGGUGAAAUCCCCGAGCUUAACUUGGGAACUGCCAUUGAUACUAUCAAUCUUGAAUACCGUGGAGGUUAGCGGAAUAUGUCAUGUAGCGGUGAAAUGCUUAGAUAUGACAUGGAACACCAAUUGCGAAGGCAGCUGGCUACACGAAUAUUGACACUGAGGCACGAAAGCGUGGGGAUCAAACAGG
rnacentral:rRNA from 1 species